rnacentral:lncRNA from 1 species
GACCCCCCACUCUGCCCACACCCUUGUCACCCUGCUUCAGUUCAUUGAGGGAAUCAGGAUGGCCUCAGGCAUUUCAUUCAUUCAUUGAUUCACCUAUUCAUCAAAGCCUUGUUGAGUAUCUCGGUAUGUGCAUGACCCAGCAUUAUGUGGGCUUUACCAACUUCAGCUCACAACCAUUGGAUUAAAUUCUCUUUUAAAAUGGUCUUAAAGCUGUGUUCUUACAUGCUUUUUAUUUUUUCUAAAAACACUUUUAAAAAGAAAGUAGCUUAUAUCAGAAAGCAAUUUAUAGAUUAGCCACUGCGCCCAGCCGACACUUCUGUCUUGAAAGCGGUCAUCCUGCUUGGAGUUCCCCACUCCACUUGUCCUGUUCAUGCAGUGCCAUUUUAAUCCUCUCCAAAAAUGUUUCUGUU